UGUACUUUGGGUGGAUCAUUUGGUAUUGCUGCGGAGAAGGCCGUUGGCUACAUAACGUAUAACAGAACAUAAAUCAAUAAUAUCGCUACCCCCUCUCCUUUCUUCCCUCCCCUGGGAUACGCUCACUAUCCCCGAACACCGUUACUGCUCUGCAAACCGCCAAGCGACGCCGGCGUCUCUCUCGCAAUCAAUGUUCACGUCUAAAGCAUCACAAGCAAUAUUUGAUCUCUAGCAUUCGACGAUUAAUACGUUCAUCCAACGCUUGAAACUAACUUUGUAAUUCAUUAGAAAUCUGUUUAUUUACUUUGGCUAAGUUAUGUGUACUGAACAACGCACAUGUUUGUAAAAACAUCAUAUAUGAUAUAAAACUUAUUAUUACAUACGUAAAACUUCGAAUACUCAAAUAAGUAUAAAAAUAUCUCGAAUUAUUGCGUAAUAUCGAAACUUAACAAUUAAUUAAUUAAUUAACAUUAUUAUUAUAUCAAUAGAAACUUACUUAUUCGAAGACAGUGAAGACUCGUCUCGGGACUUGCAAAUGACACGAUUCAAAAACAGAAAUACAUAGUUUACUCGGAUUGUUACAUUUUAUAAUUUAUUAUAGUGAUGUACACCUGACAUUUGUCAAAGUAUUAAUGCAAAUUUAUUUCGGGCCUGGCUACACUUCUGCAUGUUUCAGGAAGUUUGAGUCCGGACACGUCACUGAUAUAGAAAGGCUAAAUGCAAAACCUUGUAAGGGGAGAGACUCUCGUACUCCGAGAAACUAACAAAACAUCCUCGCAAUUAGCCGGAUGUCCCGAUGACAUCAGCGGGGCAUCCCCCGGGACCGGCAACCGUGCUACGUAGCCUCGCGACAGGAAUUUCGCCGCUGCGCUACCCUCCCGGCUUCGGUCCCCUACCGGUCUCUACCGGCCGUGUUGCCCCUACCAAGCGACCGUUCGCGGCCUCUCAACGGGAUUCUAGAAUUGAACACGGAUGGCAAGGAAGAGGUGGGCCGCUGGCGAGGGGGGAAGGAGUGAAGAUGCCCGCCGGACGAAAUUGAAAAGUGGUUGGAAGAUAUGCACCUAGACGAAUACCGGUAGACAGACGAAUGGCGUGGGAAUGAGCAAGGGGCUGGAACGGGUCCAUUUACGUAUUAUCAUGGAUUUACAUCAUCCGAUGAAGUUGGUCAAUAUACAGAAAUUAACUGAAAGUUAAUGAUACAUCACAAGCUAGAAUAGAUACAGGAUCGGACAAAACGGGCUACUUGAAUAACUCCUUUAUUCAUAGUAAUGGGAAAAAAUAGGUCAAGCAAAACUUGUUUUAGUUCAAGGACGUCAGGUCCAAUGACAUUGUUUGGGUUAAAAAUCAACCACAUUUAAAGGGGGGGCAAACAAAUUUUUUUUUAAUAAAAUUUUGUUUAUAUCCGUAGAUUCUCGCUAAUUUGUGCACAAAAGUAUAACUAAUUAACACGGUGAACAGUUUAUAAAAUAUUUCACAUUUCACUUUGAUACUUUCUAACAAAAAAGGGGAACCACUUGAUGAAGUAUUCACGUGUUGUUAACUUUACUUGAAUAUGUUCAUGUAUUAAACAAUAGGAAGGACUGAUUGAUGUUUAUAUUCUUAGCAUAUACGUGCACUAAUGAAACAUUAUCACGCACCUACACCUUUCUUCAAAUCCAGCCAUGCACAUUUUAACGUCAAUCGAUUCUCCUGAAUAUUUGUUCACUCGAAACCUUGUUCAAAACUGGCGCCUUUUCAAGGAGACCGGCAACCAUUAGACUACCCUCGUGACACCCGAGGUAGAGUAUGAUGGUUCCAUCGAGUAGGUAGUGCCUAGACGGGGCUCCACCCAGCACUUAGUUCACGUCGUGACUGCGGCCCCGGGCACGACCGUUUCCAGGGUACAGUCACGCCCCUGCCGUGCGAGUACUGUACUCCCAUUCGCUGGCCCAUAUCUCAUCUGGUCCAUCGCAUUAGCCUAAUCUGCCACCAACGUGAACAGAGAAAAAAAAAAUACGGCCAUCAACGUUGCCACCGACGAGAGAAAUCGCGGCGAGGUGCUGCCACCUUUGUGGAAGGAUCGAGAAGUUGACCGGUUGUCGAAUCGAUUUUUUCCCACGAGCAACGCCGUCUCGCUCUCAUUUCAGCUGGUAGUUCGAUUUGGUUGUUUGUUCGUAUAUUCCUGGCGACAUUGUCCCCCCUACGUUAAUACACAAUUCGUAGUAAUGUUAGUUCGCGUCGGUCGGCAGCAAGAAUACCUCCUGUUUGUAUUGCUCAUCAUGAAAGUGAUCGGAAUGAUAGCAUACUUCCAUCGUCGGAUGCAGUGGGCUGUCAUCUUGUCCAGUUGCUGUUGACGUGGCAUCUAAUCGGGCGUUGCUGAAUUGGUGAGUAAUUUAAUGCAUGGAACAAGUAAUUGCAGCGAAAUAAGAGAAUAAGCGAUAUAAUAAAACGAGUUUUUGCAAAUGUGUUUCUCUUACUUUGCUCAUAUUAGUCUGAUUUUCUCACUAAUUUUGUUUUUACAAUCAAUUUGACAUUUUCAUCAUAAAAAUAUAUUCUAUUGUUGUCUGUGAUCUUUACGCGCGUACGAACAGGGUACGAAUUCCUUUGCAUUAUAAGCCUCGUGGCUUAGGACGUAAUCAUUAGCGGAGCUAAUGAAGUACUCGAAGAAAUUCGAAACAUUCUCGUAGCAAAAUGAUGUCACUAAUAACGUGUAUCAAGGAACGCUUUGAAGUUUGUAGAACGUUGUAGAAAUAGAUCACACUCUUAGAGUCAUCCAACAAAGUCACCGACGAAUUUUCAAGUAUCAUUCAUUGCAUGAGAGUGCAUAACUUCCAUGCUACACAUUACAUGAAAAAACAAUUCUGUUGGUGCAACCGAAUUUUCGGUCGCUCAGGGAUCAGACGAAAACUCGGCUGUAGUAACAGAAAAAUUCCUUUAUAAAGCUUCUAUAUAGUCAGUUGUUCUCAGUUGUUUCAACCGAGUUCUAAUAUCGUUGAAUGUUCAGACGAAUAUUUUCGACUGCGACAACAGAAAUAGUUUUCAUAACAGAGAUAUCGCUUCUGAUCACCUAAUUUUCAGUUGGUUCCUAUUUGGUUGUACCAACUGAAAUUUUUUUUGCGUAUAUAUAAAUUGAUAAUCUAAGAGAAUUAAUCCUAUUUAGCAACUUGUCAAUUCAGCAAUAUUAGUGUUAUCAUAACAAUGUAACUUUUUCACUUAGUCUGUUCGAUUGGCGACAACAGUGAUCCGCGAAUAAUCGCUUUAUGACAUUUUAUUUUCGCACAAAUUGGAAAGCAAAAAAAUUAAGUGUCCAAUGUAAACUUUAUUCUUAUUACCUUUUUUUAUAUCGCAAUAUGUCGUGUAGUUUCGUAACCGUUUAUGAUGCAGGUACUUCAAAGUUACACCGAGUUUUGUUCUCCUUAAUUUACGUUCUCCUUUUUCAAACCCAAACGUACAAACUCGAGUACCUAUUGUUAUUAUUUGUCGGAAGCUAGUUUUACUAAAUAGUAAAGUUGUAUUGUGGCGAGGAUUGUGCAUGCUGUUGCCUUGUUUCGCCGGUUUCAUGCCGCCGUAGGCUGCCUCGAAACUUGCGUGGAUUUAUAUUACGAGACAUAAAUUUUCGUUUAUUUGAAAAUACGUGACGCAAAGUCAGAAAUCUGACGUGUGUAGGAGAUGAACUGGCGGACUACGCUCUGUAAAGAAAAAAAAAAAGCCUGAUGUCAGUAAGCUACAUAGGUGCGUCGAAUAUUGCACAAUUUUUAGACAUUGCAAGUUAUUCUAGUUUUCGAAAAGAACCAUACAUGUGAGUACACACACUAUAUGAGUUAUUAGUACUGCAAAAAUAUAUCUGCGAUAUCGCAGAGUCCAAAAGACCUGAUCCUACGUGAAAGUAGAAAGUCUUUACAGGUCAACGUUACAAAAUUACACGAAUUAAAUUGACCAAUUUGUUUCGCUAUAAUCCCAUAUAUCAAGUGGUUUUUUAAUGUGUUUUGAAUUCGCUGAUUCUUUUUCAAUAAUUUAUAGCCGGUGACAAAAAAAAUUGCAACAUUUUUUUCACAAAUUUCAUCACGUAUUCGUAUUCAAUAAGAGAAUUCGUUAUUUAAUAAUUUCCGAGAGAUAAAUCAUUUACUAGACACAGGAAUAUGUUCUGAAGCUGAUCGAACAAAAAAUGUUGCUAUCUUUUUGUUACUGACUACACCACCGAAAUGAUAUGAAGUUGUUUUGAGCUCCAAGAUGAUGUCUUCGGUUACAUUCAUUCGUCUUGAUUGCAUUUCGCCGUUAUACGAUAACCAUCUCAAAAUAUAUCUCUAUAAGAGCAUUAUAUCCUAUAGAAUGUUUGAUGUUCAUGUUGGUUCGAAUUUUUUACGAAAUUCGCUCUUCUUACUUUGAGUGUCAUUUACAUGCGACUAAUUUUCUUCUAAUUACAAAUCCGUGUUUAUUAAAAUGCAAUCUUUCAAUGUUUAUAUAUAUAUAACUCUGAUAUUCCGCAAAAAAUACAGUAAAAAUCCAACAAAAACUGAAAGUAUAUGAAGUGAUUCAAAAAUCAGGAGUUCUUUGUAAAUUGUUUUUCGUUACUUGUUUUGUUAGUCACAAUAAUUACUUGAUAGUGAUAAUAUAGCCAAACGAAAGGAAUCAAUCUGUACAUAUUCGUUUCGCUUUCAACAAGCCGGAUGAUUUGUUUACUUUUAAAUGGAUCAUCAGACUACAUUGUCCCGUAAUUAAGUCAAUAGUGUCGUUAUACUUAGGCGUAGCACCUGUCGUAGCAGUAACUUUGUUGUUGCACGCACAAGAAAAGCAUAAGAUUAAUGAUACUUUAAUGAUUACACGAACCGUUUUGAGGCACGGCCGACUGCUAAAACAUAACUCAAUUCCACAUGACGGAUAUUGCCACCCUUCUGUAGAACUAUUUAUGUGAUGUGUAAUAUGAGUUCGAAAACCUCCCUCCCCCUCUAUUUUCAUAAACACAUGAUAAAUCGUUCUGUGUUGAGUAAACCUUGUGCUUUCGUAAUGAAGUCAUCUCGUCAGCUGAAUCAUGAAACUCCAAGGUAGAUAAUAUUCGGAGGUAUAUACAUUUUUGUUUAAAUGUUCGAAUUUUUAAUCCGGCCAAUGAUAUUUAAUAACAAAAUAACAUUUAAUAUCUUUAAGAACAACAUCAAGACGUGUAAAUAAUAACUUUUUAUCCUCGCAAAAUAAUUUAAUAAAUUACGCACUGACCUCCCGCGGUUUGGCCUAAUUGUCGUGCGUUGUUUGAAUGCCUUUACACCAUACCAGCCGUAAAAAAGCGAAAAAGGAAACGAAUUAUUUCAGUAACGCCUGACGCCUUGUAAGCUUAAUUAUCUGCGUUAUAUCAUUAUCAUUGAAUUAACGGUAAUAAACUAUAGAAUGAGCCAUCAAUUACGUCUUAAAGGAAAAACAUUUUGUAUCCCGACAACUGUAAUUCUCUGGAAGCUAUAUAAACUUCUAAUGAAUACUUCAUAAAUCUGUUUUUGUGAUUGCGGCAUGUAGUUGCGUGCCUUGCACGCUACGUAAUCAGAUGAUGGUGAUUUACAAGCUAUCUUGUGCUCUUCAUGUAUGCUUAAAUUUUUACGGGUAUGAUUUCGUUGCGUCAGGUUCAUCUUCAGAAUAUCCCAUUUCCUCAGGAAACGACGCGUUGCCUUCCUAAUUUGAUAUUUUGUUUGUUCACUUGUUUGGGACCGGACCAAAAAAUUUAGGCUCCUAUUGUUCUUUCAUGUUGUGUAAAAAAUUGCUUAUAUCAGCAUAACAGAACCUAUUGAUUAUUAACAAAAUAUUAAUAAGACCAACAUAAAAUCUCUGAUUGAGAUGUGCGCAUUGCUUUACUAUUAAAAUACGUAUUUAUGCACGCUUGAUAGUUUUUGCGGGGCGAUUUCUAUAGAAAGCGCGUGAUCUAAUUAACGUAUUAUUUUAAUUAUAUUAAUUUCAUUACUAUUAAGGUAAUACGAUGAAAAGUUUCUUUAUCGCUGCACACAUAUCUCUCUCAUUAAAUAUCUCUGCGUCUUAACCAAUUUAAUUUUAAAUUCCUUUCAGAGAAAGGCGCGUUAUAAAUACGUUGGUUAAAUUAUAUUUAAUGUCGAGGAUACUUUAUAUGUAUAGUAUUAUUUUGUAGAUAUGUACAACCUAAUAUAAUUACAAAAGCUAAAAUUAAUAGCGAAUAACGCACAGAUAAUAAAUUGUAUAAUUUGAAAAUUCCAAUAAAAGAAGUGGAAUAGGAGGAAAUAUUGCUACGAUAUAAAAGAAGUUUUUCACGAAGAAUCAUAAAUGAUUCUUGUAUUUUACGACCAUUAUUUUCUUCCUUUAAGAACAAUAUCUUCUUCUGUGAUGUUCAGACACAUUCAGUUUCGCAUGAUUAAUCCGUUUAAUAUUCGUGCCUCGAUAUCCUCGUAUUUCUUCUCCAUCUAUUGAUCUAUAUUCAGUAAAAGAGAAAGAGACAAAGAGAGAGAAAGAACGGAAUGAACAAUGAAAUUUAAAUCAA